rnacentral:lncRNA from 10 species
GAGAAAGGCUAAUAUUUUCUUCCUACCCACACUGUAAUGACUUACCUUUGUAGUCUCAGUUUGUGGGUACUCACUUUGUAGUCUCAGUUUGUGGGUACCCACUUUGGAGGACACCAAAUAAGGAAUAUCGACAGACCUACCAACGGUUGAAGAAAACUUCUGAUGUGACAGAAGCAAACAGGACUUCACCCUCAAAGACAUUUUCUGGAAAAGCGUGGACUGCUGCUACCCUGGAUGGAGACUCCUUCUAGGGGAGUGUCUGAAUAGCAUUCGUCUGCCUCUAAUUAUUCUGGGUCACCAUGUCAGAAUGGCUAUUGCUGACUCCUGGAAUGCUGUUUGGAAAAGACUACGGAGAGAGUGAUUCUUCAUCAGUGAUUAAGCAUCUUUUCAUGAUUAAUGCAGAGCUGUGAGAAGACAGAAGCAGUGGAAUGACACCACAACAUCUGUGCAUUGAGAAGGGCACUCUGCUGCGGCAUGGCAAUAAAGAAACUGAGGCUCAAUGAACUUGUAACGCUUUAGUGUCAGAGCUCUAGAAUGGGUGAAGGCCAGAUUCAGACCCAGGCAUCGUGACUCCCAAGUCUGCUUGUGGAUCCUUGAAAGCAAGGGUGAGCCAUAAGCAUUGCACCUUUGAGAGAACUGGUCAAGGCUCAAUUGGAAUAAUCUGGAGAAGCUUUUCUACAAUGUCUACACUCCAGGGCCCACACCUGCCAAUGAAAUCUGUACCUUAAACCUGAAGAGGACCAGGUAUCAAUAUUCUUUGAAAAGCAGCCCAGAUGAUGCAGCUAGGUAGGUGUGGGAUUAACAGCACAGCCGGGAAGUUUCAAAUUGGAAGCACUUCAGAAACUGUCAUAUGCGAGAAAGAUGGUAUCUCAUUCAGACCGACCACCAUUUCCCAAAGAUUUCUCCCAGAUCACUACUUCCUCAAGAUGCCCAGAGAACAUAAUUCUGUGACCAAAUGCGUAUGAGAAAUGCUGCCAACUGCUGACUCCUAUCUUUGAGACUUAUCUACGUAGUGCUUUUAGUGCUUUUUUGUUAUGACCUUGGCUCACUGCAGCUUCACCCUCCUGGGCUCAAGCGAUCCUUCCACCUCAGCCCUUCAAGUAUCUGGGACUACAGACACCUGCCACCAUGUCUAGCUAAUUUUUGUAUUGUUUGUAGAGAUGGAGUUUCACCAUGUUGCCCAGGCUGGUCCUGGUCUGAAACUCCUGAACUCGAGUGAUUCUCCAGCCUCAGCCUCCCAAAGUGCUGAGAUGACAGGUGUGAGCCACUGUGUCUGGUCUGUAGUGCAUCUUAAUGUCUCUGAGAAAACCUGUGACCAAGAAAACUAUUACCUCGGCUUAAUCCAGUAAUUUUCCAGGAAAGCUGCUUUUUUAUUUCAUAGCACCUAACACCCUGUGGACCUCCAGAAAUGGUGAUUCACGAUGAGGAGGAAGAGUACUGAGCCCUGUCAAGGGCAGCAUUGGGUGAGGAGCCUCUCAAUUACAUGUUAGGAAGUGAAGACACCCAGACCUCGGAUUCCAAUUUUGAUGCUUCAGUUUUAAAAUGGUGGGGGGUGAGGGGCUGAUGGAGAAGAGUCUUUAUGGACACAAAUGGACCAGGGUGCUUUGACCUUUUGUUCUGUGGUCUCCUCACUUAUUAGGUCACAUAACCUUCAGUGGGCUACAUAAACCUCUUUUCUCAUCUUUAGCAGAACAAAAAUCUGUGGUCUGGGCUUAGGGGCCAGUUGGACUGGGCUUUGGUCAUUGAUUCGCGCUGGUCUUUGAAAUGUGAGUGGAAGGGACAGACAGGUGUUGAGUCCAAGCAGAAGCCUUCGAUGUUCUUGUGUGGCUUGGCUCUGCCUCUGUGCUUCUCCCUCCUCCUUGAGAACAAUAUGCCCCACAUGGGAGCUGCUCCUUUAGCCAGGCCUCCAGGACCAGAGGACAAAUGGGGCUGAGCACAACCAAGCCCAGCUGAGCCAGGUCAGGGUUCAAUGUAGCCUGAACAUGAAAUAAAUGUUUAUAAUUUUAAACCAGGAAAAUUUUGGUAUAGUUUAUUAUAACAAACUGCAAUCUAUAAACCUGAUUUGGGUCUGAUUUAAAGAAACCAAACAACCUCUAAAAAUUAGGAGGUAAACAGGAAAACUUGUACACUGACGUUAAGAAAUUGAUGUCAUUUUUUUUUACAAGAUGUUAUAGGACUGUUUCACUUGUGUUUAGGUAAAGAAUCCUUAUCUUCAGUGAUCCACGCUGAAAUACUUAUGCAUGAAACGGUAUAAUGGAAGGACAGGAAAGUGGGCAGAGUCAUAAAUGAAGUAAGAAUGUCCAGGUGUUGAUAAUUAUUGAAGCUGGGUAACGGAUAAUUGGGGGUUUACCAUAUUAUUCAACUUUUGUUUAUGUUCAAAAUUUUCUCUGAUUAAAAAGCUAGAAAAUCAACAUUCACACAAACUCUUCUCCAUAGGUUGAAAAUAGGUGGAGUAUCUUGUUAGGAUUAUUAUAAUCUUUUAAUUUUAUAGCACUGCCAAUGAGCCAUCCCUGCCAUAAAAGAGUCAGCCAGAGAUAACUGGUGACUUCCACCACGUAAUUAUUAUCACCGUUUAUUUCAGUGGAAACUGCUGCCUGUUUGGAUUUGGAGAACACUAAGAAAGAGAAAUGAAGAUCUGGAGAAUUCAAAGGAUAAUUAUCCCUUUUGAAUAUUGACACACUUACAUGUUUUUCCAGACGUAGAUUUUGUGUAGGCGAAAGCUAUUUGAUUAUAAAAGAUCCGGUUUCU